AUAAUGACCAGCAGAAGGAAGCUUGGAAGCACAGGGGCUUGAACACCACAUCACUGUUACGAAGAGAUAAAGUGGGGUCCAUACUAGUGGAAAACUGGAGGAAGGACUAGAUAUACGAUAUGCAGUUAUUGGAGCUUGUUUGGGUGCCAUUUUUGCAGUCACUUUCAUUGCUAUUAAACUAUAUAUGAUAAAGAAGCACAUGCUGGACAAC